rnacentral:rRNA from 1 species
AACGAACGCUGGCGGCAGGCCUAACACAUGCAAGUCGAACGAUCUCUUCGGAGAUAGUGGCGGACGGGUUAGUAACGCGUGGGAACAUGCCCUAAGCCUGACCGAGCCAUGCCGCGUGAUCGAUGACGGCCUUAGGGUUGUAAAGAUCUUUCGCCUGCGAUGAUAAUGACAGUAGCAGGAGAGAAGCCCCGGCUAACUUCGU